UACGUAGGGUGCGAGCGUUGUCCGGAAUUAUUGGGCGUAAAGAGCUCGUAGGCGGUUUGUCACGUCUGCUGUGAAAUCCCGAGGCUCAACCUCGGGCCUGCAGUGGGUACGGGGCAGACUGGAGUGCGGUAGGGGAGAAUGGAAUUCCUGGUGUAGCGGUGGAAUGCGCAGAUAUCAGGAGGAACACCGAUGGCGAAGGCAGUUCUCUGGGCCGUAACUGACGCUGAGGAGCGAAAGCGUGGGGAGCGAACAGG
rnacentral:rRNA from 1 species